ACUUCUUGAUAAAAGGCAAGUAGAGAUUAAAUACUGCUACAAUAAUUCUCUUGUUCAGAACAGUUUCAUUCUCUCCAUGUCGUUCAUUGAAGUGUUCGUGUAAAUUUUGGGACGCAUAAUUCUAUCGAGAAUGAAGUAUUUCGGAGCUUUUUUAGCUUUUGUCGCGUUUUGCAACGCCAGAGCUCUCUUUGACGAAACAGGCUAUAAAUGGAUGGACAUAUUGUGAUACGACAAUAUGGCAACCUACGACGACCUCGAUCGAACUGACUUUGUUGAAAGGAUUAGAUGUACUGGAAAUUGGAUGGCUUGGCGGAAUACCACAGAGUCACGUACCGGCAGUUCAUGUUAAGAGCAGCGUCGACAACGGAACCUUGACCGAUGGCAGUGUAACUCUGUAUGAAAAUGGAAUUUCACUAAUCGUCAAAAAACGGGCAAAUGACGUUUACGAGUUUCAAGGAAAUUGGAGAUGGCUGACCUUUGGAGGAGACACCGAAGGAGAGUUCCACGCAUCGGUGGAUUGGGACCAAUUGAAAAUCCACACGGAUUUCAACUUACAAGAAAAGUUCGUUUUCACCGUCCAUCUGCAUCUCCAAACGUUGAACGGAGUGUUCCGAGGU
rnacentral:misc_RNA from 1 species